UCAGCCACCCGCCACUGCACCUGACCAGGUCUCUGUUGGCUGGUGCAAUCCAGUGGUGAGCUGAUAGUAAACCCCAGCUUAGGAAACAGGGUUGUUCUUCAUGUGGAUGACUCUGUGCCGAAAGCAUGGGAACAGCU
rnacentral:snoRNA from 1 species